rnacentral:pre_miRNA from 1 species
CAAGUACUCCCUCUGUCCGGAAUUACUUGUCAUCAAAAUGGAUGUGUCUAGAACUAAAAUACAUCUAGAUACAUUCAUUUCAAUGACAAGUAUUUUCAGACGGAGGGAGUACAAG